GAUGAACGCUGGCGGCGUGCCUAAUACAUGCAAGUCGAGCGAACGGACGAGAAGCUUGCUUCUCUGAUGUUAGCGGCGGACGGGUGAGUAACACGUGGAUAACCUACCUAUAAGACUGGGAUAACUUCGGGAAACCGGAGCUAAUACCGGAUAAUAUUUUGAACCGCAUGGUUCAAAAGUGAAAGACGGUCUUGCUGUCACUUAUAGAUGGAUCCGCGCUGCAUUAGCUAGUUGGUAAGGUAACGGCUUACCAAGGCAACGAUGCAUAGCCGACCUGAGAGGGUGAUCGGCCACACUGGAACUGGGACACGGUCCAGACUCCUACGGGAGGCAGCAGUAGGGAAUCUUCCGCAAUGGGCGAAAGCCUGACGGAGCAACGCCGCGUGAGUGAUGAAGGUCUUCGGAUCGUAAAACUCUGUUAUUAGGGAAGAACAUAUGUGUAAGUAACUGUGCACAUCUUGACGGUACCUAAUCAGAAAGCCACGGCUAACUACGUG
rnacentral:rRNA from 1 species